rnacentral:rRNA from 1 species
AGAGUUUGAUCCUGGCUCAGAAUGAACGCUGGCGGCGUGCCUAACACAUGCAAGUCGAACGAGAGCGAAGGAACUUGCUCCUUCAAUCUAGUGGCAGACGGGUGAGUAACGCGUGGGUAAUCUACCUUCGAGUGGGGCAUACCAGGCCGAAAGGCCUGUUAAUUCCGCAUGAAAUGGAUGUCAUCUUGGUGACGACCAUGAAAGCCCGGGAUCUUCGGACCGGGUGCUUGAAGAGGAGCUCGCGUUAGAUUAGCUAGUUGGUGAGGUAAUGGCUCACCAAGGCUGCGAUCUAUAGCCGGCCUGAGAGGGUGAUCGGCCACACUGGAACUGAGACACGGUCCAGACUCCUACGGGAGGCAGCAGUGGGGAAUUUUGCGCAAUGGGGGAAACCCUGACGCAGCAACGCCGCGUGAGUGAAGAAGCAUCUUGGUGUGUAAAGCUCUGUCGAUAGGGACUAAGAAUCGUUGCCUAAUAAGUAACGGAAUUGAAUGUACCUAUAGAGGAAGCCCCGGCUAACUCCGUGCCAGCAGCCGCGGUAAUACGGAGGGGGCAAGCGUUAUUCGGAAUUACUGGGCGUAAAGGGCGCGUAGGCGGCCUGUUAAGUGAGAAGUGAAAGCCCACGGCUUAACCGUGGAACUGCUUCUCAUACUGGCAGGCUA